rnacentral:tRNA from 1 species
UUAUAUAAUAAACUAAUUUCUAAGUUUUUGGGCUCAUUCUUCAAAUAUAUUGUUUUUCAAUUUAUAUAAU